rnacentral:rRNA from 1 species
GACGUAGGGAGCGAGCGUUGUCCGGAAUUACUGGGCGUAAAGGGCUUGUAGGCGGGGCGGCGCAUCCUGGAGUAAAUCCAACCGCUCAACGGUUGGCUCAUCUGGGAGAUGGCCGUUCUUGAGGACAGAAGAGGAAAGUGGAAUUCCCGGUGUAGCGGUGAAAUGCGCAGAUAUCAGGAGGAACACCAAUUGCGAAGGCAGCUCGCUGGGACGUAACUGACGCUGAGACGCGAAAGCGUGGGGAGCAAACAGG